AGUCGCUUUCCCUCUCUGAGACUUAGUGUUUUUGCCUGGAAAAUGGGGAUAAGAGUCUUUGUCUCCAGGUAGGCUGUUAUGAGGAGCACCUAAAUAAGGCAUGACUGUCUUGCCCAGAGCCUGCUCAUAUAAUGCUCAGGAAAUAGUACCCAGGUUGAAGUCAAAGAGUGAAACACGUAGUGUACAGAGUGGGAAAGCGGGAUGGCCUGGAGGUGAGAGCAUCAACCCUUGUCAAAAAGAAUGUGGGGGACCAUUCUGCCUCCAAGAAGAAUGUGGAGGCUUUCUAAAGAGCCUUUGCUACCAGCUGUUCCCUGAAAUGCUUCUGUUAGUUUCUUGGGCUAAAGCAAGGAAAACCCAGAUUGAAAUACAAAGCCCUUCUUUAAGCAGAUCUUGUCUGUAGACCCAUCAACCAUCCUUUCCUAGCUCCCCAUCCUCACGCCCGCUCCAGGACCCUCCGCUUUCUAGUCACUCUGCCUGCAAUUAGGAAUACCCACCACAAGGUGGCGUCGUUGUUUUGCACCGACACGAACCCCACCCCCCCCUUCCCUACCCUGUGUGUGGUCUCUGAUCCCCUCCUAGAAACUGCCUUUUGAGAACAGAAAGGGAUACAGAGACAGUCUUUAGGUUUGUCAAAAAGAGCUGUGAUCAGCUAGUGAUGUCUGCACUGGGCAAAGGAGUGGAAAGCAGCGCAUUUUAUGUUAGGCAUUCUGGUACCUCCAGAAUGAGCAGAUGAGUAUGUUUUUCUAUUAAAUGAUAACUUUUUUUGGAGG
rnacentral:lncRNA from 1 species